GAACAGCCGAUUGCAAGCCAAGCAGAAUCCCAUUGGUUCAAGAAGAUUUGUGUGGAUUCAGGCCGUUGAAUAGCGUAGCACACUACGUCCAGUUAGGUGAGUUGCCCUAUGUUGAAUUAUGAGAUAUAUGUGUUAUGUAUCGGUCAUUGAUCUAGAAAGCCAUGUCCUUUUGCUGAUCUAGAAAGUCAUGUCGUUCUUUAUAUAGUCCAGAAAAGCAUUCUAGUCUGCUAAAAUGCAGAAAUCCUAGCUAGUAGGAUUGCAUGGUACAAGUAUUACAUUCAGUGGAUCCUAAUUAAACUAGGUCUGUUUUACUUGCGAGGUAUCCCACACCUACCUUGGCGAUAUUUGUUUUGAUGCCGGUGAAGGGCGGUAAGAGUUUGGCCUAUCAGAUGUGUUGGUGGUUCUCAUCAGAUCUUAGUAGCAAAUUUGUUUAUUAGGAGAAGCAAUUUAUUGACUUUUGAUGACCUCUUGUUUUGGUCUGUUGUGUAGUCAUAGUCCA
rnacentral:lncRNA from 1 species